AGAAAAGCUGUGUGAAUAGAAGAUAGAGCCCGUACCGCAAACCGACACAGGUAGAUAGGAAGAAGAUUCUAAGGCCAACGGGAGAAGGGUUGUUAAGGAACUCGGCAAGUUGACCCCGUAACUUAGGGAGAAGGGGUGCUCUUUAAGGAGAGCCGCAGAGAAUAGGCCCAAGCGACUGUUUAGCAAAAACACAGCUCUAUGCUAAAUCGAAAGAUGACGUAUAUGGGGUGACACCUGCCCGGUGCCGGAAGGUUAAGAGGAGGAGUGAGAGCUCUGAAUUGAAGCCCCGGUAAACGGCGGCCGUAACGAUAACGGUCCUAAGGUAGCGAAAUUCCUUGUCAGGUAAGUUCUGACCCGCACGAAUGGUGUAACGAUUUGGGCACUGUCUCAACAACCUGCCCGGCGAAAUUGUAGUACCGGUGAAGAUGCCGGUUACCCGCGACUAGACGGAAAGACCCCAUGGAGCUUUACUGCAGCUUAAUAUUGAAUUUCGGUAUUUCAUGAACAGGAUAGGUGGGAGACAGGGAACCAUAGGCGUCAGCUUAUGGGGAGUCGACCUUGGGAUACCACUCUUGAGGUGCUGGAAUUCUAACCUGUGGCUCUGAAUCGAGUCAGGGGACAUUGUUAGGCGGGCAGUUUGACUGGGGCGGUCGCCUCCAAAAAGGUAACGGAGGCGCUCAAAGGUUCGCUCAGCAUGGAUGGAAACCAUGCUUUUGAGUGUAAACGCAAAAGCGAGCCUAACUGCGAGACUGACGGGUCGAGCAGUAACGAAAGUUGGAGUUAGUGAUCCGGCGGUAUGUGAGUGGAAAUGCCGUCGCUCAACGGAUAAAAGCUACCCUGGGGAUAACAGGCUGAUCUCCCCCAAGAGUCCACAUCGACGGGGAGGUUUGGCACCUCGAUGUCGGCUCAUCGCAUCCUGGGGCUGAAUUCGGUCCCAAGGGUUUGGCUGUUCGCCAAUUAAAGCGGUACGCGAGCUGGGUUCAGAACGUCGUGAGACAGCCCGGUCCCUAUCUGUCGUGGGCGUAGGAUAUUUGAAAGGAGCUGUCCCUAGUACGAGAGGACCGGGAUGGACGCACCGCUGGUGCACCAGUUGUCAUGCCAAUGGCACAGCUGGGCAGCUAUGUGCGGAACGGAUAAACGCUGAAGGCAUCUAAGCGUGAAGCCGACCUUAAGAUAAGAUAUCCCUUCGUAAGAGUAAGACCUCUCAUAGACUAUGAGUUUGAUAGGCCUAAGGUGUAAGCACAGUGAUGUGUUCAGCCUGCAGGUACUAAUCGGUCGAGGGCUUUUCCAA
rnacentral:rRNA from 1 species